UUGAACCGAUACCGAGGCAGGCCUAACCGCCUGAGAGGAAAUCCUGCAACCGCAGGCGGCCGCACCGAGUGCAUCGCCGACACCUCCCAAGACCUCAACUGCUGUCCGCUCUGGCGCACAGGUAUCGUUCA
rfam:Lonsdalea quercina strain ATCC 29281 genome assembly, contig: Ga0052894_scaffold00008.8